rnacentral:tRNA from 1 species
UUCCUAGUGGUCCAGCACUUAAGACGCUGCACUCCCAAUGCAGAGGACCUGGGUUCAGUCCCUGGUCAGGGAA